CACAGUUCUGUUUACGUAAACAUUUUAGUCAUGAACUCGUCACAGUAUCCACUUUCGUUCCACGAUGAUACAAAACUCGUCCGACGUCACAGCUUACACUCACUUUUCAAAGCACACGCGUAAACGGAAAUAGAAAUCUGAGAUAACGGAGAAUUUAAUAAAUCGUCACCAAUCAUUGAUAAUAACGAUGACUUCAUGUACUAUCGAUACUGCUCCUUAUCAUGCCUACUAUAAAUGAUCUGUUUACCGAUAAUAUACCGGUGACACGAACAAAUAAACAAAACUCUUCCUUUCGUAGAAACUGAGUUCAACGGCACCUUUCUAGUUCUUGUGGCGUAUUCGCACCAGGCGUCAUUUUAUUAUUGACGUUCAAUGAUAUCCGAUGUGUAUACAUAUUAAACCUACAUAUUUUAAAAAUUGGAGGCUCAAUCCUAUUCGAAGUUUGCGAUGUGGAAUUCAUCUGUAAUUCAUAUACAUACAGAUUGCUUACCUGAUAAUGCAGCUGCAGUCUGACGUCACCGACUGUAAUCGAAUUGAGGAAAAAGGUGGAUCGGAAUUCCUGGAAAAGGCAAGGCCAAAGGCAAAGAUUAAGAAAGCGUUGGGG